rnacentral:rRNA from 1 species
UACGUAGGGUGCAAGCGUUAAUCGGAAUUACUGGGCGUAAAGCGUGCGCAGGCGGUUUUGUAAGUCUGUCGUGAAAUCCCCCGGGCUCAACCUGGGAAUUGCGAUGGAGACUGCAAGGCUAGAAUCUGGCAGAGGGGGGUAGAAUUCCACGUGUGAGCAGUGAAAUGCGUAGAGAUGUGGAGGAACACCGAUGGCGAAGGCAGCCCCCUGGGUCAAGAUUGACGCUCAUGCACGAAAGCGUGGGGAGCAAACGAGGAUUACGAAACCCGGAGUGAGAUC